rnacentral:rRNA from 1 species
UCCUACGGGGGGCAGCAGUUUCGAAUCAUUCACAAUGGGCGAAAGCCUGAUGGUGCGACGCCGCGUGAGGGAUGAAGGUCUUCGGAUUGUAAACCUCUGUCACCGGGGAAGAAACGCUUUGAGUUAAUAGUUCAAAGCCUGACUUAACCCGGAGAGGAAGCAGUGGCUAACUCUGUGCCAGCAGCCGCGGUAAUACAGAGACUGCAAGCGUUAUUCGGAUUCACUGGGCGUAAAGGGUGCGCAGGCGGCCGUGUGUGUUGGGCGUGAAAGCCCGGGGCUUAACCCCGGAAUUGCACCCAAAACUACAUGGCUAGAGCAUUGGAGAGGGUAGCGGAAUUCACGGUGUAGCAGUGAAAUGCGUAGAUAUCGUGAGGAACACCAGAGGCGAAGGCGGCUACCUGGACAAUUGCUGACGCUCAGGCACGAAAGCGUGGGGAGCAAAAGGGAUUAGAAACCCGGGUAGUCCG